CUAAUCAUACUGGUUACGAUCAUCUAAUCAUCUCCUUACUAUUCGUUCUCUUAAAAAGUCUUGAGACCUGCCUUUCUCUUUCUCCACACUUCAGUCCUUCCAAGUGUCCAGCUCCAAUGCGGUUGAGAGACCCCAGGAUAAUCCUAAUCAAGGCUAUGAUUUCUUACAGCAGAAGGAUACAGAGCAAAGUUAAGCAACAAGACAACGGGGGCAAAGUCUGGAGGAAACCACGCUCCAACUUUCUGAGGGGGCUUGGAAGUGGAAUCACACAGGAUGUACUUCAUACCCCCUCGGCAAUUAGUUGUUACAACACGUGUGGAAUGUUGUCUACCAGGGAAGCUCAUUAGAGACUUAGUGCCCAGGGUUUUGGUUGGAGGCUAGCUAUGUAGGCACCGUCUGCUUGGCAUAUCCCCAAGUCCCAGACUUCCAGAAGUAAAGCACAAUUAAACCAUACUGAUUAUACACACAGUUCAGGCACAGUGAGCCACUCGUACCAGUUCUGGGAAUGGUUGAAACCCUCCUGAAAUCCGGGUUUCCAGAUGUCAGCCAAGGACCAAACUUGAAGGCAGGAAUUAUAAAGGUUAGCAGUCAGGUCUAGUAACUGUCCUGGGCCCACCUGACAGCGUGGUUCCUGUUCCUUGUCCUAUGACCUUUUCCUCUUACCCUCCAUCUCUAUCCAAAGCUGUGGACACCCCAGGACCCUGCACAGCGACAUUAGCUGCAUCACUUCUGAAUCGUGAACUUAGAAACUCCAUGCCGAUCUUCCAACUGGCUUACUUAAGAAAGAACUCUAGGAGCACUUGGCUGACUCAGUUGGUAGAGCACGUGACUUGAUCUCCAGGUUGUAGCUUCAAGCCCCAUGUUGGGUGUAGAAAUUACGUAAAGAAAAAAUGGGGCACUUGGGUGGCUCAGUGGGUUAAAGCCUCUGCCUUCAGCUUGGGUCAUGAUCUUGGGGUCUUGGGAUCGAGCCCUGCAUCGGGCUUCCUGCUCACUGGGGAGCCUGCUUCCCUUCCUCUCUCUCUGCCUGCAUCUCUGCCUACUUGUGAUCUCUGCCAAAUAAAAUCUUUUUAGAUAAAAAGUAAAAUGGAGAGGGUCCUGGGUAGCUCAGCCUUUGGCUCAGGUCAUGAUCUCAGGGUCCUGGGAUCGAGCCGCUACCUGAUCAACGGAGAGUCUGCUUCUCCCUCUCCUAUUACCCUGCUUGUGCAUAUUGUCUCUGUGUCAAAUAAAUAAAAUCUUCAGAAAUAAAAAUAAAAAGGGGGCACCUGGGGGGCUCAGUCAGUUAAGCAUCCAACUCUUGAUUUCGGCUCAGGUCAUGAACUCCUGGUCAUGGGAUCGAGCCCCACAUCAGGCUCCAGGCUCAGCACAGAGUCUGCUUGUCCCUCUGCUCUUCCCCCUGCUCGCUCCCAUGUUCACACUCACUCAGAUAAAAUCUUUAAAAUAAUAAUAAAAUCUUCAUUAAAAAAAUAACAGUGACCUAACCAUUCCCUUGCUCAGUAACUCUUCUAGCCUGGUGCAAAUCUCCAAGUCAAGGAUCUUUCUGCUUUUGACUCAUUUAGCUCCCUCCUUCCUUUUGCUUUCCCCACCACCAUCUCCCACCAGCCUAGACUCCAGGAUCCAUCAUUUAUCUUGCCAUUAUCCUGAACCCCCUUAUAUCUCUUGAGCUGCUUCUGCUCCUGCCUAGAGAAACUUCAACUCUGAAAGCGUCCAUCCUUCCACAUUGUCAGUAUUCACCCAGAGGGUUGAAUCCUGCAGAAGAGAGUUACAAUGGAGUAAAUUAGUACCACUGUAAAUAUGAUUACUGCUCUCUACUGGGCCCUCAACAUUGCCAGCAAGACUGAGUGCUUUCCUUCAGCCACCUCUUUACAGUCAACAAAAGGCCCUGCCAUCUCUUUCAAAGAGAACUAGAGGAUAUUGGAUGGAAACUACUACAAUACUUAACCACUCUCUGAUACUUAACCCACCCCAUCUGCAUUCAAUCUUUUCCUGGUGGCCCUAUAUGGCAAAAAACACCUCUCCAAAAAUUGCUUGUACUCUGGCUUCCUAAACUCCCCUCGUUCCCAGACAUAGAAUGCUGAUUUACCCCUCUCUGCCUGAAUCUUAAUUAUCUUUCUUGAUAGGGGAUCCUUUCGCUUGGAUUUAAUUUUGCUGGCAUACUAUAUCCUACUAUGUUAAUACAUAUUAAUAUAUAAUUGUAAGUAUGUAGCAUAUUAUGUUACAAACUUUUUUUUAAAGAUGUCAUUUAUUUAUUUGACAGAGCCCUUACUCUGGAAGAGGUAUAGUUGAAAUGGCAAGGUAAGCAGCAGUGAACAAAACGAACCCGGCCCUUUUGGGGGCUUGUUUUGAGGAGACAAUAAAUGAGAGGCAAAAUAAGUAAAAUAUGUAAUAUGUUAAGAAAAUCAUUAAGUGCUAUGAAGGAAAAGAGGGACAUGAGAGGGCAUAUGGACUGGAGGAGGGAUUUCUGCUUUUAAUUUAAAAUAGGUUAGGAGGGGGUUGCUGAGUGUUUCAGUUGGUUGAGUGGCUGCCUUCAGCUCAGGUCAUGAUCCCCGGGGUCCUGGGAUUGAGCCCCAGGUCAGGCUCCUUGCUUAGCGGGGAGUCUGCUGCUUCCUCUCCCUCUGCCUGCAGCUCCCCCUGCUUGUGCUCCCUCUCUCUCUCUCUGUCAAGUAAAUAUAUUAUCUAAGUAAUAUAAAAUAGGUUAGAGGGGUGCCUGGCUGGCUCAGUCAUUAAGAGCAUGCAACUCUUGAUCUUGGGGUUAUGAGUUCGAGCCCCACAUUUGGUGUAGAGAUUAUAAAUAAACUUAAAAAAUAAUAAAAUGGGUUAGAGAAGCUGACAUUUGAUAAAUGACUCAAGAAGGUGAUUGGAUAUUCGAGUAGAAGAAACUAGCUGCAAAGACCCUGAAACAGGAGUGGACUGCCAUGGCUGGAGUGAAGCAGAGGAGUAGAGUAUGAGGUUAGAGGGACACCUGGUUUCUCAACUGGUUGAGCAACUGCCUUCGGCUCAGGUCAUGUAUGAAGUUAGAGAGUAAGCAGAGGCCAGGCAGAAAGGAGGAAGCAGAGCCUGGCGUGAUUGUUGCUUAUUCCGAGGUAGAAGUAAGUGUAGGGUUUUGGACAAUAGAGAGUGACGACCUGACAGACAGUUACAGACAAACUUGGGCUAGUGUGUAGAGAAUAAAGUAGCAGGACGAGAAGCAGGAAGACCAGUUAGGAGGCCAGGGCCCUAAUCCGGAAUGUUCUUCCUGCUCCCUGGUGGUUGGAACGUGCAGCCUAGACUUCCAAUACUGAGUGUGCUGCCCGGCUUUCAUGGCAGAGUCCUGUGGAGGCCAGCACGGUGUCCCCAGUGGACUGCUUCUCUGAAGUGUAUGCAUUUCAAAAAUAGGAUCCUAAAAGGAUUCCCAGUCAAAAGUUUUCGUCUUCCUACUGUCCCUCAAACUUAAAUUUUAAACCUCCUCUCCAUGUGGAGCUAGGCUAUUUCCAAUUUUUGCUAAGUACAGACUGUGCUGCAAUGAAGGACCUUGGUGAAUUAUUUUCACAAAUCGGUGGUGAAUUUAUCUGCUAGAUGAUCCAGUCACAGAAAUUCCGGAUAACAGGAGAUGUAAUUCUUAUAAAUAUUCCUGUGCCCCCAUCCACAUGAGAUGAUAGCAGUAUGCCUCAGGCAGAUUUUCAGGGUGCCCAUUACCCAUAUAGUCUCCAGGACCGGGUUACCACACUGUUGAGGACCUUUGCCAGUCCGUCUGAUAAAUGAAAAUUGUUAUCUCAGAACCCCAUGCAUUUUACUCAGUGUGUGGCUGGCUGUGUUUUCCUAAGUAAGGUAUUAGUACUUCCUUUUCUGUGAACUGUUUAUAAAUAUUCUCUGAUUAUUUUUCUCUUCAGAUAUUAGACUUUUCCUUAGUCAUUUACAGGAACUCUUUUUAUUAGAGAAAAAAAAAACUUUUUAAAGUAAUACCCAUAUAUAGUUACUACAAAUGAAACAAAAUAUCUUAUAGUAAGUCUAAUUUUCUUCCUCAGAGGCAAAUACUGUUUCUCUGUAUUUUUCUAAAUAGUGUCCCUCUUCAAAUUUGUGUGUGUGUGUGUGUGUGUGUGUGUGUGUGUGUGUGUACACACUAUCUGUGUCUCCCCUUUUAUUAAUGUAUCAGUUGGAACAGCCUGCAUAAACUGUUUUUUUACUUUGGGGGUUUUUUCCCCCCUGUUUAUCAGCUGUGGACCUCCUGAUAUGAAAACUUUAACCCUUCACACUGAGAUUCACACAUCUCUCCUGAGUACUUUCGACAUACUUAUCAUAAUACUUGAGUAAGAUGAAUACUUAGUAAUACUAUAACUAAGUAAAUACCAUUUAUAAAUGAGCCAAGUGUAUAAAUCUGUAUUUCCUUUCUUACAAAUGUUAGUCUUCCUGGCCGUAAAAAUUACCUUAACUUUCACAUGUUGGCUGCCUUUUUUUUUUUUUUUAAAGAUUUAUUUACUUGAAAGAAAGCACACAUGCACACGAGUUGUGGGGGGAGGCAGAGAGGGAGAAGCAGACUCCCACUGAUCAGGGAGCCCAGCACAGGGCUCGAACCCAGGACCCCAAGAUCACGACUGACUAAGCCACCCCAGCGCCCCUGUUAGUUGACUUUAAAAGCUGAAAACAAGUAAGUGGUAUCCUGCUUUGAUUUUAUAAGAAUUCUUCAGCACAGAGCCAAGUGGUUUAUGCCUUCCCUACAAUUCUAGUUUUGCAAAUACUAUGCUGCUCCAAAAAAAAUACAUUACUAUUAUCAAGAUGAAAUGGGUUGUCUUACCUUAGAUUCUACCAGUUUCUUAAAAUCAUGCACAUUUUAGGGGUGCUUGGGUGGCUCAGUCGGUUAAGCAUUUGCCUUCUUGGGGUCCUGGGAUCUAGUCCUCUGUUGGGCUCCCUGCUCCUCUCUCUGACUCUCCUCCCAUUCAUUCUCUCAAUAUCUCUCUCUCUCAAAUAAUAAGUGACAUCUUUAAAAAAGAAUAAUAAUAAUUUAAGAAUUAAAAAAAAAUCCACAUUUUAAUUUGCUUCAUGAUGGGACAUUGCCUUUCUUCUUCAAUUUUUAAAAAAUAUUUUAUUUAUUUGAGAGAGAGAGAGAAUGAGAAAGUGAACAUGAGAAGGGAGAGGUCAGAGGGAGAAGCAGACUCCCUGCCGAGCAGGAAGCCUGAUGCAGGACUCAAUCCCGGGACUCCAGGAUCAUGACCUGAGCUGAAGGCAGUUGCCUAACCAACUGAGCCACCCAGGCGUCCCUCUUCUUCAAUUUUUAAGUUGUUUUUCCUUUAUCUCUUUCCCUUUCCACAUUUAAUGUACACAAAAGAAAAUGUAAUUGUAAUAUGAUGAGGAACUUAAAUAAGUUAAAUAAAUAAGUCUGUUAUAUAACCCAAAAACUAGUGUUACCAACCACCUGCAUCUGUGUGUUACAGCUCCCCUGUUCAUUUGUGCUUCACGCAAAAGGAAGCUGCUAUUCUGAAUUUUAUGUGUAUUAUUAUCUGGGUUUGAGUCCUGUUUAUAACCCAAAUUUAUAUGAUUUAUAUAAUUUACAUAUAACCCAAAUUUAUAUAAUUAUGUUUAUAAUGUUUAACCCUAAAAUUUCUGGUUGGUUUUUCAAAUAUUCUCUCUUGACUCAUUUUCUCUCUGACUGCCUCUUGUAUUCUCUGUUGCUUAGAAUCUUAUUUCAUUCUUCUUGAGCUCAACAAUUUUCUAAUAUAAUUCAGACAGUUUUUUCCUUGGACCAUUAUUUUCUCUACAGCUCCCUCCCCCACCCCACCGCCCCGGAAUUGCUGAAUGUUCUUCUUUGCCUGUAUUUGUUGCUUUUAUCAUAUAAUAAAGUUUUUCUAAACCCUCA